GAAGCCUCCACAUCUCUUCGGACGAAAUCUUGCUCCCUUGUCCUCCAAGCUUAGCCAAAAUGUUGACCCCUUGGUCAACACACCCAUUUUGGACAUCCAAGCAUAGUCAACUUUUGGCCUUGACCCUUUGUUGACUUGUUUGGUCAAAAUCCUAUUCUAAUUGGCCCAAAAUACAAGGUCCAAUUGAAAUCCUAUACUACUAGGCCCACAAUACAAAGCCCAAAUAAAAUCUAGACUACUUGGCN
rnacentral:lncRNA from 1 species